rnacentral:rRNA from 1 species
CCUACGGGAGGCAGCAGUCGAGAGGCUUCGGCAAUGGGGGAAACCCUGACCGAGCGACGCCGCGUGGAGGAUGAAGGCCCUUGGGUUGUAAACUCCUUUUGUCGGGGGAGAAACACGGCCAGGUGAACAAUCUGGUCGUCUGACGGUACCCGACGAAUAAGCUCCGGCUAACUCCGUGCCAGCAGCCGCGGUAACACGGGGGGAGCAAGCGUUGUUCGGAAUCACUGGGCGUAAAGGGCGUGUAGGCGGUCAGGUAAGUGGGUUGUGAAAUCCCUCGGCU